rnacentral:misc_RNA from 1 species
GCUUGUAGGAACAAGUCCCACAUUAGUAGUGAAUAAGAAAAUUAUAGGGCAUAUUAGCUUAAGGCAAACCAAACCAAAAUAGAUUAGGCUAUUUUGAUGAUGGAAAUUUCAAACUCAAUUUAGCAUGGAGGUUUGCCUGUUUGAUGAUCCACACUCUUGCACUCAUAUUUCUCAACAUGGUAACAGAGCUGUGAGGCCAAUGGCUGUGGAUUUAG